rnacentral:rRNA from 1 species
GAUGAACGCUGGCGGCGUGCCUAAUACAUGCAAGUCGAGCGAACGGACGAGAAGCUUGCUUCUCUGAUGUUAGCGGCGGACGGGUGAGUAACACGUGGAUAACCUACCUAUAAGACUGGGAUAACUUCGGGAAACCGGAGCUAAUACCGGAUAAUAUUUUGAACCGCAUGGUUCAAAAGUAAAAGACGGUCUUGCUGUCACUUAUAGAUGGAUCCGCGCUGCAUUAGCUAGUUGGUAAGGUAACGGCUUACCAAGGCAACGAUGCAUAGCCGACCUGAGAGGGUGAUCGGCCACACUGGAACUGAGACACGGUCCAGACUCCUACGGGAGGCAGCAGUAGGGAAUCUUCCGCAAUGGGCGAAAGCCUGACGGAGCAACGCCGCGUGAGUGAUGAAGGUCUUCGGAUCGUAAAACUCUGUUAUUAGGGAAGAACAUAUGUGUAAGUAACUGUGCACAUCUUGACGGUACCUAAUCAGAAAGCCACGGCUAACUACGUGCCAGCAGCCGCGGUAAUACGUAGGUGGCAAGCGUUAUCCGGAAUUAUUGGGCGUAAAGCGCGCGUAGGCGGUUUUUUAAGUCUGAUGUGAAAGCCCACGGCUCAACCGUGGAGGGUCAUUGGAAACUGGAAAACUUGAGUGCAGAAGAGGAAAGUGGAAUUCCAUGUGUAGCGGUGAAAUGCGCAGAGAUAUGGAGGAACACCAGUGGCGAAGGCGACUUUCUGGUCUGUAACUGACGCUGAUGUGCGAAAGCGUGGGGAUCAAACAGG